GCACAGGCUGUGAACUCGAAGAGUAGGGCGGGACACGUGGUAUCCUGUCUGAAUAUGGGGGGACCAUCCUCCAAGGCUAAAUACUCCUGACUGACCGAUAGUGAACCAGUACCGUGAGGGAAAGGCGAAAAGAACCCCGGCGAGGGGAGUGAAAAAGAACCUGAAACCGUGUACGUACAAGCAGUGGGAGCACCUUCGGGUGUGACUGCGUACCUUUUGUAUAAUGGGUCAGCGACUUAUAUUCUGUAGCAAGGUUAACCGUAUAGGGGAGCCGCAGGGAAACCGAGUCUUAACUGGGCGUUAAGUUGCAGGGUAUAGACCCGAAACCCGGUGAUCUAGCCAUGGGCAGGUUGAAGGUUGGGUAACACUAACUGGAGGACCGAACCGACUAAUGUUGAAAAAUUAGCGGAUGACUUGUGGCUGGGGGUGAAAGGCCAAUCAAACCGGGAGAUAGCUGGUUCUCCCCGAAAGCUAUUUAGGUAGCGCCUCGUGAACUCAUCUUCGGGGGUAGAGCACUGUUUCGGCUAGGGGGUCAUCCCGACUUACCAACCCGAUGCAAACUACGAAUACCGAAGAAUGUUAUCACGGGAGACACACGGCGGGUGCUAACGUCCGUCGUGAAGAGGGAAACAACCCAGACCGCCAGCUAAGGUCCCAAAGUCAUGGUUAAGUGGGAAACGAUGUGGGAAGGCACAGACAGCCAGGAUGUUGGCUUAGAAGCAGCCAUCAUUUAAAGAAAGCGUAAUAGCUCACUGGUCGAGUCGGCCUGCGCGGAAGAUGUAACGGGGCUAAACCAUGCACCGAAGCUGCGGCAGCGACACUAUGUGUUGUUGGGUAGGGGAGCG
rnacentral:rRNA from 1 species